rnacentral:rRNA from 1 species
AACGAACGCUGGCGGCGUGCUUAAUACAUGCAAGUCGAACGUGAUUCCCGACUUCGGUUGGGAUGAAAGUGGCGAACGGGUGAGUAACACGUAAGUAAUCUGCCUUCAAGUUUGGGAUAACCCUGCCAACGCGGGGCUAAUACCGGAUGUGGUCCUGCAGACCCAUGUUUGCGGGAUUAAAGGUCGCGAGACCGCUUGGAGAUGAGCUUGCGGCCCAUUAGCUAGUUGGUGAGGUAACGGCCCACCAAGGCAGGGAUGGGUAGCCGGCCUGAGAGGGUGUACGGCCACAUUGGGACUGAGAUACGGCCCAGACUCCUACGGGAGGCAGCAGUAGGGAAUUUUGCGCAAUGGACGGAAGUCUGACGCAGCAACGCCGCGUGAAGGAUGAAGGCCUUCGGUUGUAACUUACUGUUGGAUGGGAAAAAGACCUUUUAAGUAGGAAGUUGAUGGUACCAUUCGUAGUAAGCACCGGCGUAACUAACGUGCCAGCAGCCGCGGUAAGUCAUACUCGUA